UACUCCUACGGGAGGCAGCAGUGGGGAAUCUUGCGCAAUGGGCGAAAGCCUGACGCAGCCAUGCCGCGUGAAUGAUGAAGGUCUUAGGAUUGUAAAAUUCUUUCACCGGGGACGAUAAUGACGGUACCCGGAGAAGAAGCCCCGGCUAACUUCGUGCCAGCAGCCGCGGUAAU
rnacentral:rRNA from 1 species